GAUGAACGCUGGCGGCGUGCCUAAUACAUGCAAGUCGAGCGAACAGACGAGGAGCUUGCUCCUCUGACGUUAGCGGCGGACGGGUGAGUAACACGUGGAUAACCUACCUAUAAGACUGGGAUAACUUCGGGAAACCGGAGCUAAUACCGGAUAACAUGUUGAACCGCAUGGUUCAACAGUGAAAGACGGUCUUGCUGUCACUUAUAGAUGGAUCCGCGCCGCAUUAGCUAGUUGGUAAGGUAACGGUUUACCAAGGCAACGAUGCGUAGCCGACCUGAGAGGGUGAUCGGCCGCACUGGAACUGAGACACGGUCCAGACUCCUACGGGAGGCAGCAGUAGGGAAUCUUCCGCAAUGGGCGAAAGCCUGACGGAGCAACGCCGCGUGAGUGAAGAAGGUCUUCGGAUCGUAAAACUCUGUUAUUAGGGAAGAACAAAUGUGUAAGUAACUAUGCACGUCCUGACGGUACCUAAUCAGAAAGCCACGGCUAACUACGUG
rnacentral:rRNA from 1 species